rnacentral:rRNA from 1 species
GACGAAGGGGGCUAGCGUUGUUCGGAAUUACUGGGCGUAAAGCGCGUGUAGGCGGCACCGCAAGUCGACUGUGAAAUCUCCGGGCUUAACCCGGAAAGGUCAGCCGAUACUGCGGGGCUAGAGUGCAGAAGGGGCAACUGGAAUUCUCGGUGUAGCGGUGAAAUGCGUAGAUAUCGAGAGGAACACCUGCGGCGAAGGCGGGUUGCUGGGCUGACACUAACGCUGAUGCGCGAAAGCUAGGGGAGCGAACGGG